UCCACCUGUGGCACUUGCUUGGGAUGCUACAUCAGGUCUUCACAUAUUUCCAAAUUUGUAUUCUGAGACAGUUAUGGUGGAUUCUUCACCAGCACUCUGGAGUUCAACUCAGGGGUUCGAGAAGACUACCGUUUUGUUACUGGUAUUGUCAUCUAAUGUUUAAUAAGUUUCCUGUCUUGUAAUAACCAUACAAUAUAGGAUUAAUACAAUUCACAGUUCUAUUUCUCCAACCUUAAAAAUUAAAGGUUUUGAUUUCUGCGUUUUCUGUCAUAUUUUAUUUAUUUAUUUAUCGUUUGUGUGUGUGAAUGGGGACUAGUGAUUUCAGUAAUUUGUGUUUGCCACGUGUUCUGGUUUUUGCAACUAACUUCUGCAGCUUGUUGGGUUGUGCGCUGCUAUCUGUUACAUGGCGAUUUGGCUUGGAUACACAGACAUGCACUUAAUCUUUGGUGUAUCUAUGACUUUGGAGCAUGUGUGGCUCAGCAGGGAGAGCUGAAUAAUCAGUUGAAGCAGUAGCUCUAGAAGUUCUAGAUAUGAAGCAUGGGUCAUUUAUAAUUUCUUGGCAUUGUGCCUGGCAUGGGUGGGUGGACCAGGAGCUGUUGUGUUGAGUUUAAGUGGUCGGGUUUUGAAGCCAAGCUGGUAUCUGAUGACAUGCUGCUUUUCUCCCAUUCCAUUAGAUGGGCGCUUCAUACGGAGAUGCAAGCAAGGUUGUUUGCAGUUUGUGAUACUCAAGCCUGUUUUAGUGGUAGUUACAUUCAUACUUUAUGCAAAAGGGAAAUAUCAUGAUGGGAAUUUCAGUGUGGACCAGUCAUACCUUUAUCUCACUGUCAUCUAUACAGUAUCGUACUCAGUGGCGCUCUAUUCGUUGGCCUUGUUUUAUGUGGCGUGCAGAGAUUUGCUUCAGCCAUUCAAUCCAGUUCCAAAAUUUAUCAUAAUCAAGUCUGUUGUUUUCUUGACCUAUUGGCAGGUAGGAUCUUGUCUAAUUUUGUCAUUAUUUUAUCACUGAAUUGAAUUCCUAGCCUUUUCUGAAUCCUAAUUCUAGAAUGGUGCAUUCCUUAUAUCAAUGCCCUACUUUCUGGGAUUUUAUUAUUUACAAGAAUAAUUACAUUUUAUCCCCUUGAGAUUUUUGACAAUUAGAGAGACCAUUCUUGUGGUUUCUGAAGUUACAGGUCCCUCCUUUUUUGUUUCCUAUUAUAGUUCUCCUUCCCUGCUAUUAUUCGACCAUUAUUUUAUUGACUUUAGUGAUUAAAGUUUUCUCAAUACCAAGAUGACACCCUGGCUCUUAUUUGAUUUCUUGACUAAAUAACAAUACUAUUGUGCCCUUACAAAACUAUUCUACAACCAAUAUCCAUGUGGAAUCACUACUCACAUUAUUGUUCAAUUUUGUUUUAUGUCCAGAGCCAAUAUAUUAUCCUUAAUUCACACUGUGCUCCAACAUGAAACACUAUCAUCUCCACUUUUAACCAUCAAUAUUUUAGUCUUUGCA